AAACUAGUAUAGCAACAAUCAAGUGAGCAUAUCGAAAAAAGUACGAGAUUGGCUUAAGAAAGUAGGGGCCAUAUUAGCCUUUUGAAGGCCGGCCCUAGCUUGCUUUACUAUAUGUUAAGCUACACAAGCCUCCACUAGCUAGGGCUUUUAUCCGCAAACGGAAGGAAUUGAUCUCAAUCUCUCAUCGACCACAGCGGUACUUGGUGUUGGUGCUACAAAGAAGACUUUGUGGGGACCAGGUAAGCGAUGUUGAAUCUUGCCAUGAUCUUUUCUAGAGUUAGGGUUUUGCAAGGCCGUCAAACGAAAUUUUAAAUUAGCAAUUCAGAAUUGAAGGUUUUACCUUUAAAAGAAAAAUCCAUGUUGUGAAGGACCUAAAGACGGGCAGAAUGACAUAAUACAUGAGCAAGUAGGCAUUGAUCUUUUUAUCAUCUUUCUUACUGGCCCGUAGACUUGUUUCCAACGGUGUCUAGUCGCAUCGGUACAGGAUUCACUAUGGCCCACCUCUUUGGUGUAGUUGUAGUUAGUUUCUCACACAGUAAGUAAACCUCAAACUUAAGCUAAAGGUGAUGAAUGACCUGAGACACAACCCUUUUCUUUCAUUUUUUGAAGUAAGAGUAUGAGCUCGGAGCUUGCUAAUCAAUCUUUGAGCAAGAGGAGAGGGCCGACACCUUGCCUUUAUUCUGUCCUCGUAGAGUAGAUCCCUCAUCCAAACCAAUCCUAUUUAUGGCACUAGUACUUCGCGUUCUUUCUAUCCUGUCCCAUUUUAUUUCAGGAUAGACGGCUAAUACUAAUCUAAUAAGUGAAAUAGUCGUCGUCUGACCAAUUGGCUCAGACACCAAACUGCUCAUGCCCGCCCAUUCUGUCUCGCCUUAAAUGGAAUGGCUUUCUUGGUUAGGUUGCGCCCCAACCCGAGUCCCCGCGUCCGCUCUUUCUCCGCCCGCAACCCAAGGAAUUGGCAAAGCCAAUAAAUAUUACUUAGGGUCGUCUCCUUCAUUCUAUGCUAACCCCGGCUGGGGCCUGGCUUUUUGGGAAGUCUGUUCCCACCACGCUCACGGCCAGUUGGCCUGCCAGCAGUAGUGGGAAUUCUCCCGUUCUCUGGUCAAAGACUUGUUUGGAUGAAGGAUUUACUCCACGAGGAGUGAUACAUAUGUAGAUGAUAUCAUCGCGACCUCUCUUUUCGUACCGCUUGAGAUGUUUAACGCCACUACGCCAACUGGUGUUACCUGCACUUUCAUGCCUCUCGGUGUGGUUAACACUUGGUAUUUUUUAGCAGAGAAGCUUACACCCAUUCGUAUUAGUUCAUCCAGAAUUUCUUACCUUUAUGGACGAAUUAUUUAAUAAGCCAUCUUUUUAUCAAGGUUGGAGUCAACUGAGCAUCUCAGCGUUAAGAUUGAAUACUCGGAUCGAAUCAGAGCUUACAUCGCCCGCCCUAAACAAAUAGGAGGCGUGAGCCAUAGGUCCCACAUAAGCCAUCAGGUCGCACGAUAGAAGAACACCCAACAUAAUGGUAAGGAACUCUUGAUGAACUAAUGCGAAUAGGUGUAAGCUCCUCUACUCGGAAACACCUAGUGCUGACCAUACUGAAAGACACAAAAGCGCAAAUAACACUAGUUUGCGAAGUGGCGUUAAGCAUCCCUAGCAGUACGAAAGGAGAGGUCGUGAUGAUAUCAUCUACGUCUGUACCGCUCCUCAUGGAGUAGAUUCCGCAUCCAGCCAAGUCUUUGACUAGGGAACGGAAAAGUUCCCAUUACCGUUGGCAGGCUAGUCGGACCGUGAGCGUGAUGGGAAUGAACUUCCUAAAAAUCCAGCCCUUGGCUGGGGUCAGCAUAAAAUGAAGGGGACGGCCCUAACUAAUUUUGUGUUGGCUUUGUCAACUUCUUGGGUUGUGGGCCGAGAAAGAGCGGACAUGGGGACUCGGAGCAUCCUCGUCGCGGCAUUAAUAAACAUUUAGUAUUGAAGACUAAGCGAGCCAGCCUAAAAUGGAGCACAUGCUACUUCUUCAAAUCGAGAACAUCUUACCUUUCUUAAUAGUCUGAUCCGGGCACUCCAGACCCCGAUUCUUAGGUUUGAUCCAAUUCCGAAGCUCGUUUGCUUACUAGUCGAUGUCAUUUUCAAUUAACUUAGUUAGAAAAAAGUAUGGAGAAAGCGUACCGCCUUAAACAAGUGCCAAAAAGAUGGAGCUACCUAUGCUGAGUUAUGUCGUAGGCAAAGCUUUCGGUUCGACAAACUCUUCCCCUCCGAGGUCUAGUUCAAGGGCUGGUCGAGUGGCUAUGCUCCUACUUUUGAAAUUGUUGAGCUCGAGUCUUUAGGGUCAACAGGCCGAGCCUGCGGUUCUAAUAAUUUCAUAGAUACAGAAAGAGCCAAUCUCUGCUUUAUAUUAUUUUCUAAAAUAUAUAUUUAGGCUUUAUUCCCUACGAUGGCUUAUGUGCGACCUAUGGCUCACGCCUCUUGUUCUAGGCCAGUUGUUAUAGACUCAACAAGUUGUUUAUAGAAUGCCUACUACUAAGUGAAGAAUUUCUACUUCAUUUAAUAAAGGAAGGGGGGAGGUAGUUUCGCUUAGGGAGCUUUAUAAGGCCGACCACUACAUAAGCUGCUGUUGGAGAAAGCUCGAAGAGCUUCCCUUUAUUCACUUUGUGGUAGCCGCACAACACAUAGCUGGAAUUUANNNUAGAUCGAAAAGCGCCUUCUAAACCACCUCAUUCUCAUUCAUCCAAAAGAGAGGGGAAGGGGCCUAUGUCUUUUCAUAACCCCUGCAAAUUUUACCUUAUCUACAGCCGAAGCCAAUCUCCUAUAGGUCCUAUCAUCACGCUGCAGAAGUACGGUAAACUUGGCCAAAAUAGAACACCCGGAGAACCCACCCUUUCUUCUUCAAUAAAACCGACCCUUUUUCUUGCCAGUGCUGAUGCAAUGCGCACAUAGAUAAGGAAAGCAGAAUCCCAGUGGGGGGAAGAAUGGGGUCGGUGCCUUUCUUUACAGCCUAAACUCGUAUUUGUUAGCCGUGGGGAACUACUGCUCAGUCGGAGAUUCUCUAUGCCCCACCUCUUUAGUGUAGUUGUAUUUAAUUUCUUACACACGAAAUGAUCCUCAAACUGGAACUAAAGGUAAUGAAUAACCUGAGACACAGCCCUUUCCUUUUAUUUUUUGAAGAGUAAUAGCAAAUCUGAGCUAGAAGCUCACCAAUCAAUCUUUGAGCGAGAGGGGAGGUACCUCACUUUAAGACAAAUGAAUAAAGGGGCCUUACUUAGAUGCCUCUUUCGGACCGUUUGAAAAAUGCAUAAUUAGAAGGGAAUGAUAGCAUUUCAUGGAAAUUCUGUGCCUGAAAAGCAUGGAUUUUGGGUGGGUGGGAAUCAAAUUCAUUAAAAUUCUUGCUCAAUACCUGCAAUCCGAAAACUGAGAAGAAGAAAAAGGAAUUCAUUCCUACAUUCUUUCUAUCAAUCAGGAAAAUGCAAUAAUGUCUACGACUUUUGAAAACAAAACAUUACUACUAGUCAUAUUUUAAUUGACAACCAGAAACUUUUCAUGUUUCUUUUUCUUUUUUGGACAGCCUUUCUUUUUCCUCUUCUAUUUUAAGAAAAUUAAAUUUAAAGAACAAAAAUAGAGUUAAUUGUUAAUAGUAAAAUUACCUUAAAGCAAAGCUCUUAUAACGGCGGAGAACAAAUUACAUAAAGCAUCUUGUCUUUUACGUUUGAACUUCAAUGGAGGGAAGCUUCUGACAGUGCACUUAUUAUAGUUAAAUUUGAGCAACAAUAAAUGGCCAUUGCAAUUUUAAAAGAAAAAAGGAAAAACUGAUGAAAAGAAAUUCAAAUCAUUUAGUUUCUUUCCGGGUCUAAUUUAAUUUAUUUUCUGAAUACAGUAGAAGCUGCCAUAUGAAUAUAAAUGCACGGACAGUGGACAGUAUCCUUGAGGUAGCAGUGAA
rnacentral:lncRNA from 1 species